rnacentral:lncRNA from 7 species
UUCUCUUUCUGGUUAUUGUGCUCUUGAGGUUUUGGUUGCUAGUUUUUUUCAGACUAUAAUAAGCAAUUUAACAAGUGAAGAUGGGAACAUAUGUGAAGAUAUAUGGCUUCAGCAGAUCAAAGCUAGAAGACAGAUGAAAUGGCCAAAAGGCCAAUUGAAACCUGUUGAUCAACUACAGCUGAUCCUGUGUAACAACAAAAAAUGUUACGUUUAGAUGCUGUGCUGGUUGGAGUGCAUCGUUGUAGCUUUCACUGAUCUUUUCAUUUAUGCUCUCCCUCUUGUAUCUCUGGCCCACACUGUCUCUUUAAUUUUUAUCACCUCACAACAGAGUUUCACACUUUCUUCCCAUUUUUGACUAGCAUAAGAUUAGUGACCAGGGUCCAUCUGUCUGCUGCACAGCAUUGUUGUAGGUUUUGAAAGUAAAAAGCAGCACAGAGAAAGCAAGAGCAUCAACUGAUGUAAAAGUUUAGCUGGGUGAACAUAUGGGAAAGGCCCUUCUCUCUGGCACACUCUGCAAAAAGACCUAGCAAGGUGUGAGUCAGAGCUUGGAUGUGAGAACACAGGGAUUGACUUGAGAGAAGAACUAGAAGAUGGUCUCCUUCACCUUGAUCAGUUAAUUUUAGGUAACCUGAAUGACAGAUUUAUCAAUCUGGAUAUUUUUGACCCACCCAUCCACACUUGUGCCACUACAUCUGUCCAUUGGGGUUUUUUAAUUAGCUGACUUGCUUUCCCUCCCUGGAGUUGUCCUCCUGAGGGAUGAUUUCCAUGGUAUACCACACUGAGACCAGAAGCUGAGCACUAUCCUUCAUUAAGGAUGACUUGGGAUAUUUUUUCAUGUGCUAACAUAAUUCCUCAACCUGGGAUGCUGUACACCUUGAAAGUCCUCUUCUGCAGGCUGGGUCAGCCUCUCUGUUUCCUUGGCUGUGAUUCAGCCCCUUUUACUGAGCUCACUAAGCACAGCCUGCUCUGCAUAAACUGGGAAUACUCAAGACUCUGGUGAUCUUGUUAAAUCUCUAAAAACAUCCUACUUUGAAAAGAGAUGGAGUAGUAACUUGUCUCCAAAAGUUAUGGGCCUGCUGUUGCUCUUUUAGUUCCUCUGAAUAUGGCCCUGCAGACAUAUUCUCCAGGCUUUUACUUUACCUCCAUAUUGAGUUCUGUAUGAAACCCUUCACAAGGAACUUGGACUUGU